GGAUGUGAGGGUAAUGUGAUUAUGGCAUCUGUCACUCCGCUGGUCACCAGGGUUGAUUUGGCUGACACAGCUAGUUGGGCAGGUGUCCCUUCCUUCCUCACCAUGCCAUAUGCAUCCCUCCCCAGGAUGCAUGCUUGAGAAAGAAGACAAACUUCCUAGACAGGGGGCACACAAGUGACUUGCCCCCCCCAAACAGAGGGCACACAGGUAGCUGUGCCUCCCCAGACAGAGCACACACAGGUAGCUGUGCCACCCUAGACAGAGUACACACAGGUAGCUGUGCCU
rnacentral:snRNA from 1 species